GCUCCUCAGGUGCAGGUAUGCGCUGGUGCAGGUGGUUGGCUGGGUUUUCCCCACCCCCCUGAAGACCUGGAAUUGAGCUCUGGUGAGCAGACCUCAUUGUAAAUGAAGUCUCACAGCACUUGGGAGUCGUUCCUUCCGACCUGAUGGGGAUUUCUCUCUAUGACUCUCCAAGCAAACCUACCUGAACUCCGAAGCCUCACGUGCUAAACAAGAUGCCUCUGGCAGGAAGCCCCAGUAGGUGGAGACUCCCAUGUCCAAUGUGACUUCAUUGUUUCUGAUUUACGAAGGUAAGACACAGAAUCACCCAGCAGCCUGAGAGCUUCCUGCUGGGUUACUCGUUUUGCAAUCUAUGUUGAAAAGAGUCGGCUAAUAUAACUAUCCCUUGAUAACAGGACAGAGGAUGUCUGUCCUUCACAGACACGGGCUGACUUGUCUGUUUGUCUCUUUCCAUUGUUUUUGAAGGGCCCCUUUCUCUUAACAGAAUCAAUGAGCCCUCCAGAUUCAAUAUUCUGACCUCAUUAACUGUCCGUCGCGAGCUCUCUGAGUUCUGGCACCUUCAUCUUCCCUUCUCUGAAUCUGUGGGCUUCUCUUUGUUACAACGUGAGACUUCAACCAUCUCCUGUGAUGAAGUCUCAGCCCCCAUGCUUAGAGGGAACAGUGACAUUUCCGGCUGACCCUAACGAGGUGUCAGGAGGCAUGCACAGUGCUGGUCUGACUUGCAUCAGGAAUUCUUGUCUACUGUCACCUUGAGCUCUCAACUGUCCUCUCUCAAUCCAGCCUGCCAGGCAGGGACCACAGUGGUACCUGCUACAGGACUGCAUGUCCCCUGAGUUAUCUCUCAUCUCUGUCAGCAAAGAUCCUCAGUGACCAGAGCCCCUAAGUAGAGCUUCCCAGCUCUAACAGCCGUUUGAAUAAACACACACUUUAUUCUGGGUUUAUUUUUAAAUGUCCGACAUCAAAUUCACUUUAAGAACAAUGCCUGAAACAGAAUCCUUGCUGGAAUGUGUGUGUGGGCUCAGUCAGGAGGCAGAAAACGACUUGAGCAAGGGGCAGACAUGUAUAAAGAAUCAUUGAGCAGCAAGAGGAGGUAGUACGGUAUCCUGGUGGCCUCCCAAGGGCUGAGAGAAUAUGCAGGGUGAGUUUAGAGGGGAUCAGUGAUGGCAAACCAGCAAACAAGGGGAGAAAGAUUUAUUUCACCCAAGGCUUCAGAAGUGUCAGUCUACCACAGUGGGGAGGGUUUGGUGAAGCAGGAUACAGCACACCAUGGAGGCCAGGAAGCAGAGGGAAUGCAAGUGGGACCAUGACAUUGCAAGCAUCCCCCAGGGCACUUACUUGCUCCAACUAGACCCCACCCCUAUAAGGAGGACAGCAAAUAUUCAACCAUGAGCCCAUUGACUGUAUUCAAUCUCCAAAUCAUAGCUAGGGGGUCACCUCUCAUCCAGGAAGGCAAGGUUGUAAGACACUGGACAGCACAAACCGCGCAGGGUGGCCUUGGCCAGAACUGGCCCAUGUCACUGGGCAGCAGCAGCAGCAGCAGCAGCAGCAGCAGCAGCAGCAGCAGCAGCAGCAGCAGCAGCAGCAGCUGCCGCCGCCGCCGCCUUCCAGUACAGGGUUGAACAAGGUGCACAGAGAGGUCAAGGCAUUGCUUCUCAGGGCAGCAGGAGCAGCGUACAAGUAGCCCACACAGUAAAAUAGACAGUGUCUCUCUCCUGCCCUCUAUUGGCAGACCUGAGCAUUACACUUAUGGCAACGGGGUCUGGUUCAUGAGAGACCUCCAAGCUCUCACAGAGGAGGUCCUGAGGUAUGUUAGAUGAUGAAUUGAUAACUGAAAACCAGGCUAAAAACUGUGGUAUUUCCCCACAAGGGCAAGAGAUGCGAGGUUAUUAAGGAUUAUGCUUUAGAAAAACCACUUGAUUGGCGUUUCCUCAGGGGUUAGAGGUGUGUAUGUUGUUUGCAUGCCACCUUGUCACUGGCAUGUGUGUCGUCCACAUGCUGCCCACAGAGAGGUUCAAGUCCUUCGUGACACAUCUGAGCAGGAUUAUUUGGUGCUUUUGCAAUGUUUGUUGCUACUGUUUGCAGUUGUGUUGAAGGGGUGUCGUAUAAUUCGGAGUGUCACUCCUGAUAGUUUAGGUGGGCUGCAAAUGUCUUCUCACACUCCACAGGCCGCUCUCACUGCCGGCUGUUCUCCCCGAGGUGGGCAACAUUUGGUCCAGCUUCUCUUUGUUCACUGCAAAUCAUUGCAAAGUUGAUGCGUUUCUUCCCUGUCAUUUCUCUCAGGAGUUUUCAUUUUAUAGUUUAGAUCUUUUAUUAAGAUUUUAUUUAAUGUACAUGAGUACACUGUCACUGUCCUCAGACACACCAGAAGAGGGCAUCGGAUCCCAUUACAGAUGGUUGUGAGCCACCAUGUGGUUGCUGGGAUUUGAACUCGGGACCUCUGGAAGAGCAGUCAGUGCUCUUAACCACUGAGCCAUCGCUCCAGCC